rnacentral:rRNA from 1 species
AGAAUCAACGCUGGCGGCGUGCCUAACACAUGCAAGUCGCACGAGAAAGGGUAGCAAUACCUGAGUAAAGUGGCGCACGGGUGAGUAACACGUGAAUAAUCUACCUCCGAGUGGGGAAUAACUGAGAGAAAUCUUAGCUAAUACCGCAUAACACUUACGAGUCAAAGCAGCAAUGCGCUUGGAGAGGAGUUCGCGGCCGAUUAGUUAGUUGGCGGGGUAAUGGCCCACAAGACGAUGAUCGGUA